rnacentral:rRNA from 1 species
GAUGAACGCUGGCGGCGUGCCUAAUACAUGCAAGUCGAGCGAACAGACGAGGAGCUUGCUCCUCUGACGUUAGCGGCGGACGGGUGAGUAACACGUGGAUAACCUACCUAUAAGACUGGGAUAACUUCGGGAAACCGGAGCUAAUACCGGAUAAUAUAUUGAACCGCAUGGUUCAAUAGUGAAAGACGGUUUUGCUGUCACUUAUAGAUGGAUCCGCGCCGCAUUAGCUAGUUGGUAAGGUAACGGCUUACCAAGGCAACGAUGCGUAGCCGACCUGAGAGGGUGAUCGGCCACACUGGAACGGAGCCACGGUCAAGACUCCUACGGGAGGCAGCAGUAGGGAAUCUUCCGCAAUGGGCGAAAGCUUGACGGAGCAACGCCGCGUGAGUGAUGAAGGUCUUCGGAUCGUAAAACUCUGUUAUUAGGGAAGAACAAAUGUGUAAGUAACUAUGCACGUCUUGACGGUACCUAAUCAGAAAGCCACGGCUAACUACGUG